rnacentral:rRNA from 1 species
UACGUAUGGUGCAAGCGUUAUCCGGAUUUACUGGGUGUAAAGGGAGCGCAGGCGGCACGGCAAGCCUGAUGUGAAAGCCCGCGGCCCAACCGCGGGACUGCAUUGGGAACUACCGGGCUGGAGUGCCGGAGAGGUAGGCGGAAUUCCUAGUGUAGCGGUGAAAUGCGUAGAUAUCACGCAGAACUCCGAUUGCGAAGGCAGCAUACCGGCGCCCGACUGACGCUGAGGCACGAAAGCGUGGGUAUCGAACAGG